rnacentral:piRNA from 1 species
GAUAGACUGAAGCGGAGCUCCC